GAUGAACGCUGGCGGCGUGCCUAAUACAUGCAAGUCGAGCGAACGGACGAGAAGCUUGCUUCUCUGAUGUUAGCGGCGGACGGGUGAGUAACACGUGGAUAACCUACCUAUAAGACUGGGAUAACUUCGGGAAACCGGAGCUAAUACCGGAUAAUAUUUUGAACCGCAUGGUUCAAAAGUGAAAGACGGUCUUGCUGUCACUUAUAGAUGGAUCCGCGCUGCAUUAGCUAGUUGGUAAGGUAACGGCUUACCAAGGCAACGAUGCAUAGCCGACCUGAGAGGGUGAUCGGCCACACUGGAACUGAGACACGGUCCAGACUCCUACGGGAGGCAGCAGUAGGGAAUCUUCCGCAAUGGGCGAAAGCCUGACGGAGCAACGCCGCGUGAGUGAUGAAGGUCUUCGGAUCGUAAAACUCUGUUAUUAGGGAAGAACAUAUGUAAGUAACUGUGCACAUCUUGACGGUACCUAAUCAGAAAGCCACGGCUAACUACGUG
rnacentral:rRNA from 1 species